UACGUAGGGUGCAAGCGUUAAUCGGAAUUACUGGGCGUAAAGCGUGCGCAGGCGGUUGUGUAAGACAGAUGUGAAAUCCCCGGGCUCAACCUGGGAACUGCAUUUGUGACUGCACGGCUGGAGUGCGGCAGAGGGGAUGGAAUUCCGCGUGUAGCAGUGAAAUGCGUAGAUAUGCGGAGGAACACCGAUGGCGAAGGCAAUCCC
rnacentral:rRNA from 1 species